GUCAAUCACAGUGUCAGUAAACAGCAAUUUAAUUCAGAAUCAUCACUGCCCUGAGUAUUUCCCCACAAAGCAGAUGAUAACAUGUCUUUUAAACUGGGCUUGCAAAGGUUUUUCUAAAGACUGAACAAUAUUUAUUCAAUAAUAAUGGACUCCGUUCACUAUAUUUAAGGACAAGAUACCUAUAUCACGUCACAUCACGUAAUUUUCUGUCACAUGUGCUAUAACAUAUAUCCAUGACUGGUCGAGUGGCAGCUCCACCUGCCACGCAAAGAUUUUACCCCCUCUCUCAUCUUGCCAUCUCAUAGUUAGUUAAAUCAUUUUAUAUUUCUGGGUAGAAACGCAUUUUUGUUGAGGCUGUAUGAGACGGACUACAUUCAAAGCACUUUUCAAAACUGCCCAAUAUGUUCAUGGAUGUAUUCGAAUUAAAGGGAGGCAAAGGAUUAGCUUGCAGUGACAUCUUUCAUAAGGACAAUUUAUGAGGCCAAGUGACUCUAAAAAAAAAAAUCAUGUUUAUUUUUUUAUUAAAUCAGAACUAAUUGUUAACUCAACAAAUUAAAUAUAAAUAACUGGAUACUUAUAACUAAUUAAAUAGUAAAUGUAUUGAUUAGAGUUACCAUAGACAAAAGAUUUUUCUGGUUGACUAAAUUGCACAUUAAUUUCUGCUUAAAUACUGGGUGCAUGGAGGAAUAUGCAUAAAUCUCACCGCAAAAACAGGCUAAUAAUAAGGCUAUGUCUUUAAAAUUAACGAGGCAUCUUAAUUGUUUCUAAAUGAAGUAUGUGGGGCUAAGACGCCAGGCCUGUUUGUCAGGCGCUGUAUAACAGCGCUUCCUCGCGCUCAGAAAAGGUGCAGAAGAUCAUCAAAAAUCGUGAUAUAGCAUAAGCACUAGUAUAAAACGACUGUUAUCAUUUCUGAAAACAAACACAAUGGAGUUACAAAACUGUAUCGCACAUCGCAGCCCUGCUCGAGGAUUAUUCAUAUUUUGGAUUUGUAGGCUAUUACGAGAUGGUCUAAUAGGCAUUUCCAGUUAACAUUACAACUCGAGAGAGUUCUGCAUUGAAUAAAGUAAAGGUAAACCAUGUCUUUUGUGUAAUUCUGGCCCGCCGCGGUCACUGCUGUGGGGCUAGAUAGAGCACUAUAGCGUUGGUUCCGCCGGUGUUCUCCAGCGGUCAGAAGAAAUAGCGGUGCUGUGUUAAUAGAUUUGGGUACACUAUGGGUACAGACAUGUAUUUUGAGCUAGCUGUCACAAAAAUAGACUGGACCAAUGAGGUUUUGCUAACUUUAUAACCUAGAAGAGAUCAAGUACUUUUGGCAGAUUUUGACACAUUGGUAAAACAAAAAUCUAUUUCAGUGACUGCAGCACUGCGUCGGUUACUACAUUAACCAUCAUGUUAACGACGUCGUUUCCCGGUCAACUGUAAAUCAAUGACUUUUCAACACAUUCAGCGAUCGCCCGGUAAACCAAAUAUCAAUGCUUAAUCAAUCAUAAAGAUAACUAUAGAUCAAUGUUGUUCCAAUAUUGUUGCCAUCAACAUUAAUAACAUCAGGUUUUCAUCGAUAUGGUAAUGGUGAUUCAACAUUUAUUUUACAUUGAAAUUUCAACAUCAACCAUAAUGAUGAUUCAGAUGGAAAAACAAUGUUUAUUCAAUGUUGGCUUGCUGUCUGGGGCUGUUUUGAAAAUAACCGCGUUCGUGUGGACGGCCAAUGAGCGCGCGCGGUGAGCAUUCAAAUCGCAUUUAAACUGGAGCAGAGGAGGUUACCAUGGUAACGGUGUCAACUCACUCUGCUGACAAGUAGUGAGAGGCUGUCUCUCUGCUGUUUUCACUGCUUUCAGGUAAGUUUAGUCCCUAAAGUUACACAAAUAAUACAUACAACUGUUCCUGACACUUUCUUACAUGUUACUGACACGUUUCUGUUGAAUCUUUACUUUACAGGAGUGGUUUAGUGUCUUCAAAAAGACCGUUAGCAUCACAACCGUUAACCAUAGAGGCUAACAAUUAGAGGUGAGCUAACUUAUACAUUUAAGCUCUUAUUAAUGAACGUUUGAGCUUUUAAGCACCUUUUAUGUGUAGAUGAGCGGCUUUGAUAGUUUUGUAAAUGUUUUGCUGAUACUUUGUCAAUAGAUAAAUGGAAGUCACUAUAAGCUAAUUAAUUUAACCUAAAAGUCUGCACUGUGGGGGUCAAUCGGUGACAUCACUUACAUGAACUAAUGGGCUGAAACUAUUUCAAACACGUUUUGAACUUUCAUUGCAAACAAAUAUUGAUAAAUUGUACUGUGAUUUCAGGAGCAUCAGAAAAAAAUACCUAAAACAGGGGAAGUUACAAGAAAAUUUGUAAUGAGAGCUGCUGACAGAGAUACAGGAAACACAGAGCUGGAGCGGAACAGAUCUCCUGUCGAAGAACAUCUCCAAAGCGCCAUGAACCAUCUGACUAGGCAGUUCGUGAAGACGGAUAACCUGGACAGAAGUCGGUUCCAGAUCCAGCCUCCACACCAGACUUCUCACUCACAAGGAUUGCUGUCUACUAGAUAUUAUGUGUACUCUUCAGACUUAGGUUCAUGCAGAUAUUAUUCAGGGACAUGAACACUUGAAUACUGCAAAAAUAGAGAAACUACCUUAUUUAAGAAUUUUGUGUUAAUUGCGUGAACAUUAAACAAAUAUAUAUUUAUUUUACUGUUUUUUGUUUUGUAUUCCAAAGCACCUAAAAGCCAAUUCACACUGCCAUACACCAACAGGGUGAACACACUGACCAAGCAAAACAAAUAAGCAUGUUUUUAUAUUUUUUGUGAAAGUGUGAACUGACAAUGCUGUAUGUUAGGUGUGAGAUUCAUUCAACUUGGUUUGCUGAUUAAACAUGAUUAAAUAUUUGUUCAGAAUAUUGUUGUUGUUGUGACUAUUCAUCUGGGAGGGGUGUGUAUCAAGUGGCUUGGUUAUGGUUUUGUUGAGGUCAAGCGAAUAGGACCAGAACAGGGCCAGCUAUGGUCAUACGGGUAUGGUCAUACAGGACCUCAGAUCCCACAUAGCAAUUUUUCUCUGGCCCAGCUCCGGCCCAC